GGGGAAUUUUGGACAAUGGGCGCAAGCCUGAUCCAGCAAUGCCGCGUGCAGGAUGAAGGCCUUCGGGUUGUAAACUGCUUUUGUACGGAACGAAACGGUCCUUUCUAAUACGAGGGGCUAAUGACGGUACCGUAAGAAUAAGCACCGGCUAACUACGUGCCAGCAGCCGCGGUAAUACGUAGGGUGCGAGCGUUAAUCGGAAUUACUGGGCGUAAAGCGUGCGCAGGCGGUUUUGUAAGACAGAUGUGAAAUCCCCGGGCUCAACCUGGGACCUGCAUUUGUGACUGCAAGGCUAGAGUACGGUAGAGGGGGAUGGAAUUCCGCGUGUAGCAGUGAAAUGCGUAGAUAUGCGGAGGAACACCGAUGGCGAAGGCAAUCCCCUGGACCUGUACUGACGCUCAUGCACGAAAGCGUGGGGAGCAAAC
rnacentral:rRNA from 1 species